rnacentral:rRNA from 1 species
AGCUAGUUGGUGUGGUAAUGGCUCACCAAGGCUUCGAUCAGUAGCUGGUCUGAGAGGAUGAUCAGCCACACUGGGACUGAGACACGGCCCAGACUCCUACGGGAGGCAGCAGUGGGGAAUUUUCCGCAAUGGGCGCAAGCCUGACGGAGCAACGCCGCGUGAGGGACGAAGGCCUCUGGGCUGCAAACCUCUUUUCUCAAGGAAGAAGACAUGACGGUACUUGAGGAAUAAGCCACGGCUAAUUCCGUGCCAGCAGCCGCGGUAAUACGGGAGUGGCAAGCGUUAUCCGGAAUUAUUGGGCGUAAAGCGUCCGCAGGCGGCCCAGCAAGUCUGUUGUUAAAAAGUGGAGCUCAACUCCAUCCAGGCAAUGGAAACUGCUGGGCUAGAGUGUGGUAGGGGCAGAGGGAAUUCCCGGUGUAGCGGUGAAAUGCGUAGAUAUCGGGAAGAACACCAGUGGCGAAGGCGCUCUGCUGGGCCAUAACUGACGCUCAUGGACGAAAGCCAGGGGAGCGAAAGGGAUUAGAUACCCCUGUAGUCCUGGCCGUAAACGAUGAACACUAGGUGUCGGAGGAAUCGACCCCCUCGGUGUCGUAGCCAACGCGUUAAGUGUUCCGCCUGGGGAGUUCGCACGCAAGUGUGAAACUCAAAGGAAUUGACGGGGGCCCGCACAAGCGGUGGAGUAUGUGGUUUAAUUCGACGCAACGCGAAGAACCUUACCAGGGUUUGACAUCCUGCGAAUCCCUUGGAAACUUGGGAGUGCCUUCGGGAGCGCAGUGACAGGUGGUGCAUGGCUGUCGUCAGCUCGUGUCGUGAGAUGUUGGGUUAAGUCCCGCAACGAGCGCAACCCACGUCUUUAGUUGCCAGCAUUUAGUUGGGCACUCUAGAGAGACCGCCGGUGAUAAACCGGAGGAAGGUGUGGGUGACGUCAAGUCAUCAUGCCCCUUACAUCCUGGGCUACACACGUACUACAAUGCUACGGACAAAGGGCAGCAAACUCGCGAGAGCUAGCAAAUCCCAUAAACCGUGGCUCAGUUCAGAUCGUAGGCUGCAACUCGCCUACGUGAAGGAGGAAUCGCUAGUAAUCGCAGGUCAGCAUACUGCGGUGAAUACGUUCCCGGGCCUUGUACACACCGCCCGUCACACCAUGGAAGUUGGCCAUGCCCGAAGUCGUUACUCCAACCCGUAAGGGAGGAGGACGCCGAAGGUGGGGCUGAUGACUGGGGUGAAGUCGAAACAAGGUAGCCGUACCGGGUGCGGCUG